GAUGAACGCUAGCUACAGGCUUAACACAUGCAAGUCGAGGGGCAGCAUGAACUUAGCUUGCUAAGUUUGAUGGCGACCGGCGCACGGGUGAGUAACACGUAUCCAACCUGCCGAUGACUCGGGGAUAGCCUUUCGAAAGAAAGAUUAAUACCCGAUGGCAUAGUUCUUCCGCAUGGUAGAACUAUUAAAGAACUUCGGUCAUCGAUGGGGAUGCGUUCCAUUAGGUUGUUGGCGGGGUAACGGCCCACCAAGCCUUCGAUGGAUAGGGGUUCUGAGAGGAAGGCCCCCCACAUUGGAACUGAGACACGGUCCAAACUCCUACGGGAGGCAGCAGUGAGGAAUAUUGGUCAAUGGACGAGAGUCUGAACCAGCCAAGUAGCGUGAAGGAUGACUGCCCUAUGGGUUGUAAACUUCUUUUAUACGGGAAUAAAGUGAGGCACGUGUGCCUUUUUGUAUGUACCGUAUGAAUAAGGAUCGGCUAACUCCGUGCCAGCAGCCGCGGUAAUACGGAGGAUCCGAGCGUUAUCCGGAUUUAUUGGGUUUAAAGGGAGCGUAGGCGGACGCUUAAGUCAGUUGUGAAAGUUUGCGGCUCAACCGUAAAAUUGCAGUUGAUACUGGGUGUCUUGAGUACAGUAGAGGCAGGCGGAAUUCGUGGUGUAGCGGUGAAAUGCUUAGAUAUCACGAAGAACUCCGAUUGCGAAGGCAGCCUGCUGGACUGUAACUGACGCUGAUGCUCGAAAGUGUGGGUAUCAAACAGGAUUAGAUACCCUGGUAGUCCACACAGUAAACGAUGAAUACUCGCUGUUUGCGAUAUACAGUAAGCGGCCAAGCGAAAGCAUUAAGUAUUCCACCUGGGGAGUACGCCGGCAACGGUGAAACUCAAAGGAAUUGACGGGGGCCCGCACAAGCGGAGGAACAUGUGGUUUAAUUCGAUGAUACGCGAGGAACCUUACCCGGGCUUAAAUUGCAACAGAAUAUAUUGGAAACAGUAUAGCCGUAAGGCUGUUGUGAAGGUGCUGCAUGGUUGUCGUCAGCUCGUGCCGUGAGGUGUCGGCUUAAGUGCCAUAACGAGCGCAACCCUUAUCUUUAGUUACUAACAGGUCAUGCUGAGGACUCUAGAGAGACUGCCGUCGUAAGAUGUGAGGAAGGUGGGGAUGACGUCAAAUCAGCACGGCCCUUACGUCCGGGGCUACACACGUGUUACAAUGGGGGGUACAGAAGGCGGCUACCUGGUGACAGGAUGCUAAUCCCAAAAACCUCUCUCAGUUCGGAUCGAAGUCUGCAACCCGACUUCGUGAAGCUGGAUUCGCUAGUAAUCGCGCAUCAGCCAUGGCGCGGUGAAUACGUUCCCGGGCCUUGUACACACCGCCCGUCAAGCCAUGAAAGCCGGGGGUACCUGAAGUACGUAACCGCAAGGAGCGUCCUAGGGUAAAACUGGUAAUUGGGGCU
rnacentral:rRNA from 1 species